rnacentral:lncRNA from 1 species
UUUUCAAUUUUUUUUUCAAAAUUUCUCAAAUUCCAAAUUUUUGAAAAGUUUGAAGAAGAAAUCUUUAAUUGCACAAUAUUGCAUAAUAGAUUUGUAAGAUCUUGACAUUUGUUUUGUGUCAGAAACUCAUAUAAUGUCAAAAAUUUGAUCACAAUCCAAAUUCAGAGCUGUAUCAAUCUUGAAUGUUGUGUACAUACUUGCCCC